GCUCAAAUAUUGAUGUCAUAGCGCUUGCAUGAGUUUUCUUUGAUACUGUCUUUUGUCACCAUAGAUUACCUUAAAUCAUCAUUUUAGAUUGGUAUCCAUGCUUCAUGGGAAGUUUUUGGCAAGCUUUGUUUAAUCUAUUAGACAAAUGACUUGUUAUGUCUACAACCUUCUAUCCUCAAACAAAUGGACAAAAAAAAUAUGUAAAUUCGACCUUAAAAGAUAUGCUAUGGAUAUUUAAGGUACUUUAUCAUUAUGACUUGGAUGAAUAUUUAACAUCCUCAGAGUUUGCUUACAAUGAUA
rnacentral:lncRNA from 1 species